rfam:Danio rerio chromosome 7, GRCz11 reference primary assembly.
GCCGGCAGCUAGCUCUCUGCAACUCUCACAUGGUUGCCCACUGAAGCUAAGCAGGGCUGCGCCUGGUCAGUACCUGGAUGGGAGACCACAUGGGAAAGCUAGGUUGCUGCCGGAA